rnacentral:sRNA from 1 species
GAUGAACGCUAGCGGCAGGCCUAACACAUGCAAGUCGAGGGGUAACAUAGAAGAGCUUGCUUUUCUGAUGACGACCGGCGCACGGGUGCGUAACGCGUAUGCAACCUACCUCUUACUGGAGGAUAGCCCGAAGAAAUUCGGAUUAAUACUCCAUAGUAUUUCUUUCUCACCUGAGAUUGAAAUUAAAGGUUACGGUAAGAGAUGGGCAUGCGUCCUAUUAGCUAGAUGGUAAGGUAACGGCUUACCAUGGCUACGAUAGGUAGGGGGCCUGAGAGGGUGAUCCCCCACACUGGUACUGAGACACGGACCAGACUCCUACGGGAGGCAGCAGUGAGGAAUAUUGGGCAAUGGAGGCAACUCUGACCCAGCCAUGCCGCGUGCAGGAAGACGGUCCUAUGGAUUGUAAACUGCUUUUAUUUGUGAAUUAACUCCGGUACGUGUACCGGGCCUGAAUGUAGCAAAUGAAUAAGCACGGCUUAACUCCGUGCCAGCAGCCGCGGUAAUACGGAGGGUGCAAGCGUUAUCCGGAAUCAUUGGGUUUAAAGGGUCCGCAGGCGGAUGUAUAAGUCAGUGGUGAAAUCCUACAGCUUAACUGUAGAACUGCCAUUGAUACUGUACAUCUUGAAUUCGGUCGAAGUGGGCGGAAUAUGUCAUGUAGCGGUGAAAUGCUUAGAUAUGACAUAGAACACCGAUAGCGAAGGCAGCUCACUAGGCCUGGAUUGACGCUCAGGGACGAAAGCGUGGGUAGCGAACAGGAUUAGAUACCCUGGUAGUCCACGCCGUAAACUAUCAAUACUCGUUUUCGGCGAUAUACAGUCGGAGACUAAGCGAAAGUGAUAAGUAUUGCACCUGGGGAGUACGAUCGCAAGGUUGAAACUCAAAGGAAUUGACGGGGGCCCGCACAAGCGGUGGAGCAUGUGGUUUAAUUCGAUGAUACGCGAGGAACCUUACCAGGGCUUAAAUGUAGAGGGAAUAUAUUGGAAACAGUAUAGCCUUCGGGCCGUCUACAAGGUGCUGCAUGGCUGUCGUCAGCUCGUGCCGUGAGGUGUUGGGUUAAGUCCCGCAACGAGCGCAACCCCUAUCUUUAGUUGCUAGCAGGUAAUGCUGAGGACUCUAAAGAAACUGCCUACGCAAGUAGUGAGGAAGGCGGGGACGACGUCAAGUCAUCACGGCCCUUACGUCCUGGGCCACACACGUGCUACAAUGGUAGAUACAGAGGGCAGCUACCCCGCGAGGGGAUGCGAAUCUCGAAAGUCUAUCUCAGUUCGGAUUGGAGUCUGCAACUCGACUCUAUGAAGCUGGAAUCGCUAGUAAUCGCGCAUCAGCCAUGGCGCGGUGAAUACGUUCCCGGGCCUUGUACACACCGCCCGUCAAACAAUGGAAGCUGGGAGUGCCUGAAGUCGGUAACCGCAAGGAGCUGCCUAGGGUAAAACUGGUAACUGGUGUUAAGUCGUAACAAGGUAGCCGUACCGGAAGGUGCGGCUGGAACAUCUCCUUUCUAGAGAGUUCUUGACAUGUUGUGUGUAAGAUGACAAUUUUAUUGUUGUUUCCCUUUUCUCGAUACUAUUACAAAAGGAAGUCCUUCCUUGCAUUAGAAGGCUUUGCUAUAUUGAAGCAAGAAGGAUUAAUAGUCCCGUAGCUCAGUUGGUUAGAGCACUACACUGAUAAUGUAGGGGUCAGCAGUUCAAAUCUGCUCGGGACUACUUUUUAUAUUUAGAAUAUUCAUUAUUUGUUUAACGAAUAUUCUCUAUUCUACCCAUUCGUAUUUGCGAUAUUAGUGGUAGAAGAAGUUCAUUGACAUAUUGGAAUUGAUUGAAGUAGAUAAGAAUAACUAGUAAAAAUAGAGAUUAAUAAGUUACUAAGGGCACACGGGGAAUGCCUAGGCUCUCAGAGGCGAAGAAAGACGUGAUAAGCUGCGAUAAGCUACGAGGAGGGGCAAAUACCUUUUGAUUCGUAGAUUU